CUCUCCCAGUGGAAUCCCACAGACCAUGCUUAACCAGCAUGCAUUUGUUGCUUGCUGGAGUAGUCAAGUUUUAUUUCUGACAAGUCUGCAGUUCCAGGGAGCCUCUCCCUGGCUGAGUAACUGUCACCCAUCCAUCUGUAGAUGUCAGGGAGAGUUUGCUGUGCAUCCCAAUAUGAGACAGAGGACAGAAACAUGUUUACUUUGUUGAAUGUGUUUAAUUGUUUUAGAUGUAUGGGGGGUAUCUUGGAGGAUGGGUUACAACCUGUCUUUUUUUUUUCUUUUUUGAGACAGGUUCGUGCGCCUCCCUGCGCCUGCGCCCGCGCUGUGCGCCUCCCUGCGCCUGCGCCCGCGCU
rnacentral:lncRNA from 1 species